UAGAUAUACAAACACAAAUAGAGAUUUCAUAGCUUUCAUCCUGAAAUUUCAGCCAUGAAUCAGGCAUAAAUAUUCUGAUGGUUAAUUUCAGACAUCUACUUGAUCCGAUUGAGAGACACACAUAGCUGGUCAAACACGAUUUCAGCCAUGAAUCAGGCAUAAAUAUUCUGAUGGUUAAUUUUUUGCAUUUUUAGUGUAAUGAUGAUUUUGAGUGAUUAUUUGUGUAAGUUGUAAAGUUUUCGUCUACAUGCAUAUCAUUUCUUAUGGUUUCCAAUUAAUCAUUCCCUCACUAUUUUUGGGAAAGACACAGGAUAGUGGGCUCUGUUAGAGUAGAUAGCUAGCUAGACAUGAACAGGAGGGGGAGCUCCUGGAAAAGGGAAAGUCU
rnacentral:lncRNA from 10 species